rnacentral:rRNA from 1 species
GACGAACGCUGGCGGCGUGCUUAACACAUGCAAGUCGAACGGAAAGGCCCUGCUUUUGUGGGGUGCUCGAGUGGCGAACGGGUGAGUAACACGUGAGUAACCUGCCCUUGACUUUGGGAUAACUUCAGGAAACUGGGGCUAAUACCGGAUAGGAGCUCCUGCUGCAUGGUGGGGGUUGGAAAGUUUCGGCGGUUGGGGAUGGACUCGCGGCUUAUCAGCUUGUUGGUGGGGUAGUGGCUUACCAAGGCUUUGACGGGUAGCCGGCCUGAGAGGGUGACCGGCCACAUUAGGACUGAGAUACGGCCCAGACUCCUACGGGAGGCAGCAGUGGGGAAUAUUGCACAAUGGGCGGAGGCCUGAUGCAGCAACGCCGCGUGCGGGAUGAGGGCCUUCGGGUUGUAAACCGCUUUCGCCUGUGACGAAGCGUGAGUGACGGUAAUGGGUAAAGAAGCACCGGCUAACUACGUG